AAGUUCCCGUCCGAGGUCGGCGAGACGGCCUCACACGCCAAGUUCCCGUCCGAGGUCGGCGAGACGGCCUCACACGCCAAGUUCCCGUCCGAGGUCGGCGAGACGGCCUCACACGCCAAGUUCCCGUCCGAGGUCGGCGAGACGGCCUCACACGCCAAGUUCCCGUCCGAGGUCGGCGAGACGGCCUCACACGCCAAGUUCCCGUCCGAGGUCGGCGAGGGUUCUUUGGACCUGCCUGCCAGUGGGUAUGGCUCUUAGUGGCCAAGGGAGCCAGGGAACUUGGGAAUGUAACCCAGUUUGUGGGAAUAUUUGUGACGGCGUUUGGAGUCCAGAAUCUAAGGCCGACCUGGAACAACUUUUGGGGGGGGUCAGCCUGGCAGAUAAAUCUGCCCUGCCAUUCACCACCUACUGUAUGUAGGCAAAGAGGGUGGCCCCCACACCAGACCUCCUACCUGAGACCCACGAGGUGGUCUCACCUGCAGAGCUCUAGCACAAGACCCACAAAGUAGUCUCAGCUCCAGAGCCUCAGUCGGAGGUCACCAUGGUGACCUUCUCCUCAGAGCCCCAGAAUGAAACCCAUGAGGUGGUCUCAUCUCCAGAGCUCCAGCAUAAAGUCAAGUUUCUGUCCGAG
ensembl:lncRNA